rnacentral:rRNA from 1 species
UACCAGCACCCCGAGUUGUCGGGACGAUUAUUGGGCCUAAAGCCUCCGUAGCCUGUUCUGCAAGUCCUCCGUUAAAUCCACCUGCUCAACGGAUGGGCUGCGGAGGAUACCGCAGAGCUAGGAGGCGGGAGAGGCAAACGGUACUCAGUGGGUAGGGGUAAAAUCCAUUGAUCUACUGAAGACCACCAGUGGCGAAGGCGGUUUGCCAGAACGCGCUCGACGGUGAGGGAUGAAAGCUGGGGGAGCAAACCGG